UACCAGCACCCCGAGUGGUCGGGACGUUUAUUGGGCCUAAAGCAUCCGUAGCCGGUUCUACAAGUCUUCCGUUAAAUCCAACUGCUUAACAGGUGGGCUGCGGAAGAUACUAUAGAGCUAGGAGGCGGGAGAGGCAAGCGGUACUCGAUGGGUAGGGGUAAAAUCCGUUGAUCCAUUGAAGACCACCAGUGGCGAAGGCGGCUUGCCAGAACGCGCUCGACGGUGAGGGAUGAAAG
rnacentral:rRNA from 1 species